rnacentral:rRNA from 1 species
AGCAGCCGCGGUAAUUCCAGCUCCAAUAGCGUAUAUUAAAGUUGUUGCAGUUAAAAAGCUCGUAGUUAAAUUUCGGGAUUAGUACGUUGGUCGUGCCUUCGGUACGUACUGGUGUUACUGAUUCCUACCUUCUGACGAACCAUCAUGUCAUUUAUUUGGUGUGGCGGGGAAUCAGGACUGUUACUUUGAAAAAAUUAGAGUGUUUAAAGCAGGCUCGCGCUUGAAUACAUUAGCAUGGAAUAAUGAAAUAGGACGUUGACCCUAUUUUGUUGGUUCUAGGAUUGACGUAAUGAUUAAUAGGGAGUAGUUGGGGGCAUUA